rnacentral:snRNA from 1 species
AGCUAACACAGCUCUUUAAAUUUUGUCUAGCAGAUUUUCUGACUUCAGUCAGAAAACCCAU